rnacentral:hammerhead_ribozyme from 1 species
GCAUUGCUUAGGAGUCCCACAAUAGGACGAAACGGCCGUUCAGUGC